UAAUUUGAAUGCCAUUCGCGAGGUUAC
rnacentral:sRNA from 1 species